rnacentral:rRNA from 1 species
GGGCCCGCACAAGCGGAGGAGCAUGUGGUUUAAUUCGAUGAUACGCGAGGAACCUUACCUGGGCUUGAAUGCUAUACACCAGCAAUGGUGGUGAUUGCAGAAAUGUAGUCGAAAAUUGCAAGGUGCUGCAUGGCUGUCGUCAGCUCGUGCCGUGAGGUGUCGGGUUAAGUCCCAUAACGAGCGCAACCCCUAUUAUUAGUUGCCAUCAGGUAAUGCUGGGCACUCUAAUGAAACUGCCUACGCAAGUAGUGAGGAAGGUGGGGAUGACGUCAAGUCAGCACGGCCCUUACGCCCAGGGCUACACACGUGCUACAAUGGCCGGUACAGAGGGCAGCUACCAGGUGACUGGAUGCAAAUCUCUAAAGCCGGUCUCAGUUCGGAUCGAAGUCUGCAACUCGACUUCGUGAAGUUGGAUUCGCUAGUAAUCGGAUAUCAGCAAUGAUCCGGUGAAUACGUUCCCGGGCCUU